ACAACAUUCAAAUUGGGAUCAAGAGGUUAACCAGCAGCACACUUCUCUUCUGGGUGGCCGUCCGUUCGGUAAGUUCAUUCGGUAAAAAGUCAAAUAUACGAAUAGGGGUAUACGAACAGGCAAUUCCACAAAAGGAAGGCAAACUAGACGAACCAGCAAUAAUAGUUAUACAGAUGGGUCUGUUACACACCCCUUCGACAGCCCCCCUACCGUAUCCCUGAAACAGUCCAAGAAGGAAUGCGGAAGGAAAUACAGGAGAUGACUCAGUUAGGAGUUAUUGAACCCUCUGACAGCCCUUGGGCUUCGCCUGUAGUUCUGUUGCCUAAAAGAGAUGGAACCACACGGUUCUGCGUGGACUACAGGCAACUCAAUGAGAGGACUACCACUGAUGCCUACCCAAUGCCCGGGGUAGACAAACUGCUAGAUUGCAUAGCCAGGGGACGUUAUCUAACUACAAUAGACCUGUGUAAAGGCUAUUGGCAGAUUGCCCUGGCCGGGGAUGCCAUCCCCAAGUCGGCAUUUGUUACCAGUUUGGCCUGUACCAGUUUAAGGUCAUGCCAUUCGGGAUGAAAAAUGCCCUGGCUACCUUCCAGCGUAUGGUGGAUAUGCUUCCCGAUGGAUUCCAGGAUUUUGCCUGUGCAUACCUGGAUGACAUUGCGAUCUACAGUGGGUCUUGGGAAGAACACUUGGUUCACGUAGUGGUGGUACUGGACAAGAUUUGGGCCACAGGCCUGACCUUGAAGUUGGAGAAGUGCCAUUUAGGUAUGGCUGAGGUGCAGUCUUGGGACACAGAGUAGGGUGUGGAAACCAGAGACCAGAGCCAGCAAAGGUAGAGGCGGUAGCUAACUGGCCCACACCCCGCACUAAGACUCAGGUACUAGCCUUCUUGGGGACUGCAGAGUACUACCAAUGUUUUGUCCCUGACUAUAGUGCUAUAGCCAAACCCUUGACUGACCUGAUGAAGAAGAAUUUGCCUAGGCAGGUCCUGUGGUCUCCAGCUUGUCAAGCCGCGUUUCAAGCACUUAAGUAAGCUCUUGUUAAUGCCCCUGUCUUGGCUGCCCCAGUACCUAACAAACGUUUCCUUGUUCACACAGACGCUUCCAGGGGUGGGCUGGGAAGGGGGGCAGGGAGGCAAUUGCCCCCCAGGCCACCCUAAACCAAGGGCCGCCCGCACCCAGCAAAAAUAGGAAAAAUCUGAAUCCCCUGCCUCUGGCCCUGCCUCUGGCUGAGGACUCAGAUUUUUCAACUUAACUCCCUCUCCCUGCAGCUUGCAGUC